UGACAGGACUGAUUUGCACACAUUCCUGAUAACUGUCAUAGCCUCUAAACUCAUGUAUUAAGUAGGGAUGGAGUGUAAUAAGCACUACUGCCAAGGCUGCCUUUUCCAGCUAAGUUUUCUGAUGAUUUCUGGGAGAGGCAGUAACAUGAAUAAAUGAAGACCUUUUUCUAUCCCAUCCACAGUUAGGCAGAAGACUAAGACUGAGCAGGUGACAGCAUUGACGUCAGCUUGAUGUACAGACUUGUAACCAUGCUGAACAUUUUAUAUUCCUUUGCUCUCCUUGGUCUCUUCCUGUUUCUUCUGUAUCAAAGCUAUAGGAAGAAAAUUGUAAAGAAGAGAUGGAGACCCAAUGGAGGAAAUAAAUGCUUCCUUAAGAAAGAAACAAAGAAAUACACAAACCUGUAAUAAAAAGGAAGGAUUCAUGUUGGUUGAAGUAAUGCUUGGACUCCAGCAAGCAAUGAAAAC
rnacentral:lncRNA from 1 species